rnacentral:rRNA from 1 species
AUUGAACGCUGGCGGCAGGCCUAACACAUGCAAGUCGAGCGAGCGGCGGACGGGUGAGUAAUGUAUGGGGACUGCCCGAUAGAGGGGGCUAACUACUGAAAACGGUGGCUGAUACCGAAUACUAUCGGAUAACCCAUAUGGGAUUAGCUAGUAGGUGGGGUAAAGGCUCACCUAGGCGACGAUCUCUAUCUGGUCUGAGAGGAGGAUCAGCAACACGGGGACUGAGAAACGGCCAAGAUUCCUACGGAGGCAGCAGGGGGGAAUAUUGGACAAUGGGCGCAAGCCUGAUGCAGCCAUGCCGCGUGUAUGAAGAAGGCCUUAGGGUUGUAAAGUACUUUCAGCGGGGAGGCGGUACCCGCAGAAGAAGCACCGGCUAACUCCGUGCCAGCAGCCGCGGUAAUAC